rnacentral:rRNA from 1 species
UGGGAGCUUGCUCCCUGAAGUCAGCGGCGGACGGGUGAGUAACACGUGGGCAACCUGCCUGUAAGACUGGGAUAACUCCGGGAAACCGGGGCUAAUACCGGAUAAUUCUUUCCCUCACAUGAGGGAAAGCUGAAAGAUGGUUUCGGCUAUCACUUACAGAUGGGCCCGCGGCGCAAUAGCUAGUUGGUGAGGUAACGGCUCACCAAGGCAACGAUGCGUAGCCGACCUGAGAGGGUGAUCGGCCACACUGGGACUGAGACACGGCCCAGACUCCUACGGGAGGCAGCAGUAGGGAAUCUUCCGCAAUGGACGAAAGUCUGACGGAGCAACGCCGCGUGAGUGAUGAAGGUUUUCGGAUCGUAAAACUCUGUUGUUAGGGAAGAACAAGUACCGGAGUAACUGCCGGUACCUUGACGGUACCUAACCAGAAAGCCACGGCUAACUACGUGCCAGCAGCCGCGGUAAUACGUAGGUGGCAAGCGUUGUCCGGAAUUAUUGGGCGUAAAGCGCGCGCAGGCGGUUCCUUAAGUCUGAUGUGAAAGCCCCCGGCUCAACCGGGGAGGGUCAUUGGAAACUGGGGAACUUGAGUGCAGAAGAGAAGAGUGGAAUUCCACGUGUAGCGGUGAAAUGCGUAGAGAUGUGGAGGAACACCAGUGGCGAAGGCGACUCUUUGGUCUGUAACUGACGCUGAGGCGCGAAAGCGUGGGGAGCAAACAGGAUUAGAUACCCUGGUAGUCCACGCCGUAAACGAUGAGUGCUAAGUGUUAGAGGGUUUCCGCCCUUUAGUGCUGCAGCAAACGCAUUAAGCACUCCGCCUGGGGGAGUACGGCCGCAAGGCUGAAACUCAAAGGAAUUGACGGGGGCCCGCACAAGCGGUGGAGCAUGUGGGUUUAAUUCGAAGCAACGCGAAGAACCUUACCAGGUCUUGACAUCUCCCUGACAACCCUAGAGAAUAGGGCGUUCCCCUUCGGGGGGACAGGAUGAACAGGUGGU